rnacentral:lncRNA from 1 species
GUGCAUGUGCUCAGGACGACGUCUCUCUCUGCAAAGGAUUAUAAUAAACUAUCUGUUUGACUAUAUCAGCUUGGUGACGUCACAAUCGCUGCAUCCGGUACUACCUAAAAUGAAAAAGGGGUUUUCCCCUUUUCGAAAAAAAUAAAAUGUGCACGUACAUUUCAAACCAUGCAGGUCAGGUUCGAUUUACUUUAAAUACAAAAUUGAAUACAAUGCACACACAAUAAGAUUAAUAAGUAAAUAAGACACACAUCCUGGGAAACCC